GAUGGAGGGAUGAGGGAAGAGUAGAGGACAAGUCAGACACAUGGUGUGAUGGAGUGAUGAGGGAGAGUAGAGGACAAGUCAGACACAUUGUGUGAUGGAGGGAUGAGGGAGAGUAGAGGACAAGUCAGACACCGUGUGAUGGAGGGAUGAGGGAAGAUAGAGGGCAAGUCAGACACCAUGUGAUGGAGGGAUGAGGGAAGAGUAGAGGACAAGUCAGACACAUGGUGUGAUGGAGGGAUGAGGGAAGAGUAGAGGACAAGUCAGACACCGUGUGAUGAAGGGAUGAGGGAGAGGAGAGGACAAGUCAGACACAUGGUGUGAUGGAGGGAUGAGGGAGAGUA
ensembl:lncRNA